UUGCUUCAGCAGCACAUAUACUAAAAUUGGAAUGAUACAGAGAUUAGAAUGGCACCUGCACAUGGAUGACACACAAACUCAUAAGCGUUCCAUAUUUAA
rnacentral:snRNA from 1 species